UUUGUUUCCUUGUUGCGUUGUUAC
rnacentral:snRNA from 1 species